AUUGAACGCUGGCGGCAGGCCUAACACAUGCAAGUCGAGCGAGCGUCGGACGGGUGAGUAAUGUAUGGGGACUGCCCGUUAGGGGGGGGUAACUACUUGAAACGGUGUCUAAUACCGCCUACUGUCGGAUAACCCAUAGGGGAUUAGCUCGUAGGUAAGGUAAUGGCUUACCUAGGCGACGAUCCCUAGAUGGGCUGAGAGGAUGAUCAGCCACACUGGGACUGAGACACGGCCCAGACUCCUACGGAGGCAGCAGUGGGGAAUAUUGCACAAUGGGCGCAAGCCUGAUGCAGCCAUGCCGCGUGUAUGAAGAAGGCCCUAGGGUUGUAAAGUACUUUCAGUCGGGAGGCGUUACCGACAGAAGAAGCACCGGCUAACUCCGUGCCAGCAGCCGCGGUAAUAC
rnacentral:rRNA from 1 species